rnacentral:rRNA from 1 species
CCUACGGGGGGCAGCAGUGGGGAAUAUUGGGCAAUGGGCGCAAGCCUGACCCAGCAACGCCGCGUGAAGGAAGAAGGCUUUCGGGUUGUAAACUUCUUUUAAGGGGGAAGAGCAGAAGACGGUACCCCUUGAAUAAGCCACGGCUAACUACGUGCCAGCAGCCGCGGUAAUACGUAGGUGGCAAGCGUUGUCCGGAUUUACUGGGUGUAAAGGGCGUGCAGCCGGGACUGCAAGUCAGAUGUGAAAUCCGCGGGCUUAACCCGCGAACUGCAUUUGAAACUGCGGAUCUUGAGUACCGGAGAGGUUAUCGGAAUUCCUUGUGUAGCGGUGAAAUGCGUAGAUAUAAGGAAGAACACCAGUGGCGAAGGCGGAUAACUGGACGGCAACUGACGGUGAGGCGCGAAAGCGUGGGGAGCAAACAGGAUUAGAUAC